rnacentral:rRNA from 1 species
GAUGAACGCUGGCGGCGUGCCUAAUACAUGCAAGUCGAGCGGACUUUUGGGAGCUUGCUCCCAAAAGUUAGCGGCGAACGGGUGAGUAACACGUGGGUAACCUGCCUGUAAGACUGGGAUAACUUCGGGAAACCGGAGCUAAUACCGGAUAACAUUGACGACCACAUGGCCUGCAAUUAAAAGGAGGCAUUUAGCUACCACUUACAGGUGGACCCGCAGCGCGUUAGCUAGUUGGUGAGGUACCGGCUCACCAAGGCGAGGUUGCGGAGCAGACAUGAGAGGGUGAGCAGCCAGCCUGGGACGGAGACCGGGCACAGACGCACACGGGAGGCAGCAGUAGGGAAUCGGGAGCAAUGGAUGAAAGUCUGACGGAGCAACGCCGCGUGCGCGAGGAAGGCCUCCGGGUCGGAAAGCACUGUUGUCAGGGAAGAACACGCAUCGUGCGAAGAGGGCGGUACCGUGACGGUACCUAACGAGAAAGCAACGGCUAACUACGUG